AGAACACCUGCCUCCAAGCAGAACAGUGCUGCGUAUAUAUGAGGAGCUUGCAUUGAAGAGGACUCCUUUUGCACUGACCCAGCUCUGAUUUUGUCACACCAGUAAAAAUCUGAAGACACUUCAACAGCCCUAUCCUGUUGUUACCUUCAACCACUGUAAUCCAGAAGUAACCCUGAUUCUCCACAUCUAAAAAUAUAAGGGAACAGACUCUCACUCAUCUGGCCCUACGUGGACCAUGUAGGACGUAAGAUUUGUGAGAAGUAAAGUGCCUGAAGCUUUUUUCAUGUAAAAUUAAUUGAAAGAAGAUCUACUGAAGAAAAAACACCAUCAUUAUUUCCUAGUUAAAAAAAACUGCAAACCACUCUACAGCAACUGAUUACAUCAU
rnacentral:lncRNA from 1 species